rnacentral:sRNA from 1 species
UGGCCUGUGGUACAGACCUAUUUAUGCACGACAUCUUGAUUAAAGUGGUUCAAAUUUAAAGCGUUAUCCUCGAUAGCACUUCAUCUGACGAAUUUCUUUCUAGUGCCUCCAUAAGUAACUGAUGACCGGCUAUAACAUGCCCAUGGUGGCUUAAAUUUCAUAUCGAAGGAAAUUAUUAUGUCUAACCUGAUCAAAGGUCAAGUGAAGUGGUUCAACGAGUCUAAAGGUUUUGGUUUCAUCACCCCUGCAGACGGCAGCAAAGACGUGUUCGUACACUUCUCUGCAAUCCAGGAUCAAGGCUUUAAAACGCUGGCAGAAGGCCAAAACGUACAGUUCUCCAUCGAGAACGGCGCUAAAGGUCCUUCAGCGGCUAACGUUACCGCUAUCUAAUCAGCUCUGCUGAUUAACAAGAACCCGCUAAGGCGGGUUUUU